rnacentral:rRNA from 1 species
AAACCGUUUAGGGGUAAACCUGAGAAACCCGAAAGGUCGAAGGGAGAAAUUCAUUCGCGUUUCGAGGCAGGCGUCGGGCGGUCGAGUGACGGAGAACGUUCGCGCGUUUUCCGCACCUUCCGUUCGUUCGAUCCGGCCACGAACGCGUGCACUUUUCUCCUGGUAGGACGUCGCGAUCCGUUGGGUGUCGGUCUACGGCCCGAUGCGGAGCCCGUACGUGAGGUUUCACGACCUCUACGGUGCGGACGGUCGUGUCCCGGCUGACUCGCUCGACGGUAUGCGAGAGGUUUUGGGCCGCUCUUCACCGAGCGUUCGGCCCGUCGCAAGCGCUCCAGAUGUUUGUCGGCGAUCGGACCCAGUGCCGAUUCCGUCCUCUGGUGACUGUUGGCGGCGGAGUCCUCGAACAGUGCCCUCGACCGAUCUGCGACGCUAUAGCUUUGGGUAAUUUCAGGACCCGUCUUGAAACACGGACCAAGGAGUCUAGCAUGUACGCGAGUCAUUGGGACUUGCUAAACCUAAAGGCGUAAUGAAAGUGAAGGUCUUCCUUGCGGAGACCGAGGGAGGAUGGGCGAUGUCUGCCGUUAAAAGCGAUCGCUCCGCACUCCCGGGGCGUCUCGUUCUCAUUGCGAGAAGAGGCGCACCAAGAGCGUACACGCUGGGACCCGAAAGAUGGUGAACUAUGCCUGGUCAGGACGAAGUCAGGGGAAACCCUGAUGGAGGUCCGUAGCGAUUCUGACGUGCAAAUCGAUCGUCGGAACUGGGUAUAGGGGCGAAAGACUAAUCGAACCAUCUAGUANCUGGUUCCUC